UACCAGCUGGCUGGCGUGGGUUUCUUCCCUUCUAAGCUUGGCCUAGAAACUCAUAUUUUAUUCAUGAAAAUUGAGGCCCUGGGAGGCCUUGGCAUAAACAGGAUGUAAAUAUUUGCGGGCAGUUGAAGGAGCAGUGAUAUCUGAGCAGGGGCUGUCCAAAGCUAGGGCACUGAGACAAUGCUUACUUGGGGACCCGCCCACCUCCACCUCUGUUAAGGUUGAGGGUGGAGGACUGAGCCGGAGGGACUGGCCUACUGCUUUCAUUGUUGGGGUGCUCGGAGCUGGAGCUCAGGUCUAAAGUAGUCCACGCUGUUCUGGAACUCACAAUAUAGUCCUUCUACCUCCACAUCCCAAGUGCUGGAAUUACAGUAUUGGCCACCACGCCUCAGCUGAUUGCCACCUAACAGCCUGGCCAGGUAGAAUGGCUUUGAUUCUGAAUCCUGGCUGUUCCCAGUGUCAGCUGUGGGAACUCUUGCACAAAGUCCCCAAGGUCUCUCCCUGAACAGGCAGUAACGCCUACAGGAUCAUCAUGUCCACAUCUAUGUUCUGCGGCUAGCUUCACUCAGUUUGCCUUUCUGAGGUUAACUUGGCCUGGCUGGGAGCUUCCUGGGGAACACCAGUGGUCUGGGACAUGCAGAAGAGGCUCUCCCACGCUCUUAAUCCCAACACUCAGAGGCAGAGGCAGGUGGAUCUCUGUGAGUGCCAGGUCAGUCUGGUCUACAAAACAAGUUACAGGACAUCGAAGAGCUCUUACACAGAGAAACCCCAUCUUGGAAAAAAAAGAAAGAAAAAGACUUUUACUCUGCACCAUAUUUGAGUCACCUUUCCCUCAGUCUCCUUCAGAGACAUUCCUAGUCACAACUGUUAAGUAGGACACAAGGUGGCUUUGGGUUUUAUGUAUCAGCAUCUAAAAAGGACUCAACAGGGACAUCAUCCCAGAUGUCACUUUGAAAAGAAGUGGGAAAUGAUCAAAGAGGGCAAGUUCACGGUCUGAGCAUCCGGGUAUACAGGUCCUGAUAUACCAUCUACCCCACCACAGUACGCCAGGACGGUCACCCACAGCCACCCAUGGCCCAGGUUUCACGGGAAAUUGACCCUAUUUUUAGACAGGGUCUCAUGUAACCCAGGCUGGACCCCAAGUCCUGAUAAGCUUAGGAUGGCUUUGAACUUCUGAUGCCCCUGCUCCCCCCCGCCUCCUGAGUCCUGGAUUGCAGUGAACUCCAUGCCCUGUUUAUAAAGUUUAUAAGGCUUGAACUCACUCUGGAUUUGUGCAUGCUAAGCAUGCACUCUGCCAACUGAGCUACAGCCCCAUCUCUAUCUGUUGUAUGAUUUAACCCCACACCCCUGUGCCUUAGUUUUGUUGUUUGGCUUUGCCGUAGUCCUGAGAUAGUCUUAUUUUGCAGCCCUGGCCACAGGCGAUCCUUCGGCCUCAGCAUCUGCCAUGCUUCCAUCAUUUCUGCCUUGGGACAUCUCCUUUUGAAGAAGGAUCUAAUUUUAGUUUUUGAGAAGGGUCUCAGCUCCAAAGCUACACAGAGAAAAAAGACACAGGGUCUCAUGUCAUCCUGGAUGGCUUUGAAAUUACUGUGUAGCUGAGGGUGACCGUAAACUCCUGAUCCUUCUGUCCCCAUGGCCCCUAAUAUUGAGAUUACAGGCACGUAUCACUAUGGGUAGUCUUUAUGCACCGGUGGGCAUGAAAACCAGUGCUCCAGGUGUGUUAGGCAAACACUCUCCCCACUGAGCUACAUCCUCAGC
ensembl:lncRNA